rnacentral:lncRNA from 1 species
GGCAUUCCAAGUACCAUCGCAUUUGCUGUGCCAGAUGCCUGCCUUAGAAAAGAUUUAAGUUGAGGAACUUGUAUGGGUCACAAUGUGAAAAGGCGUUGUGAGUUCUUGUUGAUGGAACUUCGGCCUGGGGCGUGUUCUAGAUCUUGGAACUCUAUUGCUCCCUUGCAGAUCUUAUGCCUUGUACUGCGGGAGCUUCCCCUUCGUAACUCCCUGCAUAUAUGAGCCUGCUCUGUAUUGAAAGUGGUAUACCUUGACCACAUUCCCUUUAUAUACGUGUCUUAAACUUCCUAGGAUACAUUUUUUAUUAGUUGAGAAAGAGAGAGAGAGAAGGAAAGAGAGAAAGGGUGCUAUUUUCUACUUGUUCACUCUUUUAAUUCCUUCAGUGGCUGGGAUUGGGCCAGGGCUGAAGCCAGAAGUCAGAAACUCAAUCUGGGUUCCUCACAUGGGUGUUUAUAACUCAAGUGCUUGAUCCAUCUCUGCUGCUUCCCAGGGUGCACACUGGCAGGAAUCUAGAACUGGAUAAUGAACUCAAGUACUACAAUGUGCCAAAGACAGCAUAAAGGCAUCUCUGCACAGAGUUUCCUCCAGGAUGCAGGCCAUAGGCCAUGUGCUGCUCAGCACCUCCUGGUACAUGCAGCAGCUCCUGGGUGUCACCGAGGAAGGGCAGCCACCCAAAGACAAGGCUUCAUCUUUCAUCCCGACUGGUCUAAAGAUAGCUCCCAGAUGGCUCAAGGCAAUUGAGGCUGGAUCCAGUCAGUGACGAGAUUAGAGAACCCAUGCUCAACUGGUAGCACCAACAAGUCAGCAGUGAUAAAACCUUCUUACCAACUCAUACCUCUGUCACCACCACACAUGGGGAAGCAGGAGAAAAAGCUGGAAUUCUAGGGUGGGCUGUUCAAAGAAGAACUUCAGGUUCUUCCCUGUCCCGUUCUUUCUUGCCAAAGUUGAGUUAACUGGCAGAGCCCUCACUAAUGGACUGUGCAUAAAGCAUGAAGAGUGCUCCCCAGUCAUCUGUCUUCACAUGUCCACUUACAUGACACCCCCUGCCUCCUGGACCCCCAUCCUAGAAUUCUCUUGAAUGAGCUCUCAAUCCCAAUGAUAUAUGAUACCUUUAUAUGCUGAUAAAUAAGAAAUAGU